UCUCACAGGAAAACCGUUUUCAUUUUCCUGUGCAACGCUAUGGAUUUCAUGCAUGGAGAUCCCUCCAUCCCCACCACAGUGAGGACACAAGGAACGCAUGCAGAGCUGUUCACCGCGGUAACCACCAUUCCUCAUUCUUCAGUGUAUGAGGGCUCCAAUUUCCCCACAGCCUCACCAACACUUGGUUCCUGUCUUUUGAUCACAGCCAUCCUCCUGGGUAUGAGAUGGUACAUGCUGUCCUUCGGUUUUGAUUUGCACUUCUCUGAUGUCUAAUAAUGCUGGUCAUCUCAUAUGUUGUGGCCAUUUGUGUAUCUUCUUAGUGAUAUGUCCA
rnacentral:lncRNA from 1 species